AUUGAACGCUGGCGGCAUGCCUUACACAUGCAAGUCGAACGGUAACGCGGGGCAACCUGGCGACGAGUGGCGAACGGGUGAGUAAUGCAUCGGAACGUGCCCAGUAGUGGGGGAUAGCCCGGCGAAAGCCGGAUUAAUACCGCAUACGACCUACGGGUGAAAGGGGGGGAUCGCAAGACCUCUCGCUAUUGGAGCGGCCGAUGUCAGAUUAGGUAGUUGGUGGGGUAAAGGCCUACCAAGCCGACGAGCUGUAGCUGGUCUGAGAGGACGACCAGCCACACUGGGACUGAGACACGGCCCAGACUCCUACGGGAGGCAGCAGUGGGGAAUUUUGGACAAUGGGCACAAGCCUGAUCCAGCCAUGCCGCGUGCGGGAAGAAGGCCUUCGGGUUGUAAACCGCUUUUGUCAGGGAAGAAAUCUUUUGAGUUAAUACCUCGGAAGGAUGACGGUACCUGAAGAAUAAGCACCGGCUAACUACGUGCCAGCCGCCGCGGUAAAAC
rnacentral:rRNA from 1 species